rnacentral:snRNA from 1 species
AUCGCUUCUUGGCCUUCUGGCUAAGAUCAAGUGUAGUAUCUGAAAUCAUUAUUAUACACUAUAUGUUAACUUGGAUUUAAAUAAAAUUAAAAAUUUUU